GCCAGCAUAGUGUAGUGUUCAGAGCACUGGACUAUGACUCUGGAGACCAGGGUUCCAUUCCCUGCUUGGCC